UUUUGAAUAAUGCCUGAGAAAUUUAAAAAGAAAAAAAAAAGGACAAACUUGGAUAUAAUAUCACUAGUGAAAAUAAAAUUAUUCACUCUGUGGUCCCAAAAUAUGAGUUUAAGCCAUUUAAGAACCAAGAUUUCCAGAGCUUUGUUUCCUAGUAUAUUCCUGUUCCUUGCACUGUGUUAAAUGACUAAAUCCUAAAAUUUAUUUGCACUGAUAUUUACAUAGAAGGAAUUGAAAGGUAAAAUCCUAUGUAAUAGUAAAUUACUUACUAUUAAUGGAAAUUUCAAGGUAAUAGAAAAAUUACUUAUAUUGGAUAUGUAAAUAUUUCUUUUUUAAAAAUCAUAUCAGACGUACCUGUUUAAGUUUGUUGACUCAUUUUCAAGUUAAAUAAAAAACACAGAACUUAGUCUGGUAUAUCAGAAAACUGAAUUAUAAUAAAGGAAGACCUAGAUUUAUUCUUUGUCCCUGACAGUCAGUGGAAUGAAAAGAGAGGAAAACU
rnacentral:lncRNA from 1 species